rnacentral:lncRNA from 1 species
GACCAGAACUCAUUUCCAGCAACUUGAUGCACACCUUAUGCCAUAGGCCACAGACAGCAGGAACGGAGCCGUUUAGAACCUGAUCCAAUGUAGAAAAAGGCUGUGACUGUUAUUUUAUCCCUGGCUGUCUCAAAGCACUUUCUGAAACCAAUGGUGGGACGUCUUGCUUAGACUAAACUUUUAUGUCAGUUCCUGAGCUGCCACUGUCAUGGCACAGCCACAUCUUGGUGAGACCAGAGCAGGGUAACAAGGACAACACUGCUGCGUGUCUUCGUGACAUCUGUCCCUGGCUGUAACUCUCCACUCCUUCCCUGCAGACAAAAAUGUGGCUCUGGUGACAGCUACCUCAGCACGAGGCACCUGAAUCAGCUCAGCAUUUUGCACUUGCUCUAGGUUGUGUUGCAAGAGCCUUCUUCCUACCAGUGUUAGGAAGUACCUGUGGUGCAGCUGCUGAUUCAUUCAGGGAAACGGGCUGAUUAGCCCUCAGCUGGUCGAAAAUGUGCUUCUCAUGGCUGUUGUCCUGCUGCGCUGUGGAAGUCCCUCAGGAUUCUCCAGGGCUGGGAAGGAGGACUGGCACUGCCCAUCCCACACUCCCACCCCUGCAGAGGAGAGAGGAGAAGCUGAAGGCAUUAAGCAGACAUUUGCAUCUAUAUUCUGCAAGUAGCAGAUGCAAAGGAAGAGAUUCAUUUCCCCUAACAUAAGCCAUCUAAAAAUUAAAUGCUGAUAGUCAUCUUGGAUUCUUUUUAAACCUAGAUUAAAAUAGCUGCUAUGUGCAGGUCUGCCCUGCUCUCUCCCCAGAGAUUACAGAAAGCACUCAAGUGCCAAACUUAAAUAGGGGGCUGAAAUUAAACCAGAGGUAUCCCACCCUCAGCACAACUCCUGAAUGCAUGGCCUUGUAUCCAAAGCACACUGGAAUCCCUGGAAAAAUCACGGCUGUAAUCCUGGAAGGGUGCUUCAGUCCUCUGCUGCCGCUGAGGGAUUCGGGGAGGUCAGGCUGACCUGAGCUGGUCAGAGCGACCUGCCCUGCCGGCUGCCAGCACCCCAGCAUCCAGCACCCUUCAGGACAGCACAGCAAGGUCCAUUUGCCUGGGCUCAAAUGGAGAGGCAGAAGUGGAAGCAAAGAAGGUGCUUGUGCUCCUGAUGACUGGGAUUGAUCCCUGCUGAGAUCAGUUGCUUGGGAUACUUUUACUGUCAGAUAUCCUGAGCCCUACCAGAGCAGCAUCACUCUGAAAGCAUUGGAAUGAGCAUCUCUGGGGUGCAAAGACAGGAAGUACAGUAAAAUCCUCAAAAAAGGGUCUAACAGGGUGAAGAAAAAGAAAAUACAAGGAAUUUAAAUGUGUCUGUGGCCUCUGUUUUUCACUGCUCUUCGC